rnacentral:rRNA from 1 species
AUGAGGAAAAAUUUAUUGGAAUUUAUGAUUACAACGUAUGAUAGUAGUAGAAAGCGAUUUAUUAUUCGGCCAAAUACUGAUGGCAUCAGUGUGCUUAAUGAAGAUGUUUAUGACAUAUUCGGGCUACGUAACGAAGGUGAUGAUGUCAGUAGCAUGAUAGCAACAGUACAACUAGAUGCCAAAAAAAUUGUUCCGAAUCGGUUUCUAGACAAAAGAACAAGCCUAAUCCUCAUCGAUGAGUUGAUAAAAAAUAUUGUUGAUACUCAGUCAUAUGAUGAUGAUAUUGUGAGAAGGGUCGUAUUGGUUCUUAUGGGUAUAGUCUUAGCACCAUAA